rnacentral:rRNA from 1 species
UACAGAGGGUGCGAGCGUUAAUCGGAAUUACUGGGCGUAAAGGGUGCGUAGGUGGUUUGAUAAGUUAGGUGUGAAAGUCCUGGGCUUAACCUGGGGAUUGCGCCUGAUACUGUUGAGCUAGAGUACUGUAGAGGGAAGUGGAAUUUCCGGUGUAGCGGUGAAAUGCGUAGAUAUCGGAAGGAACAUCAGUGGCGAAGGCGACUUUCUGGACAGAUACUGACACUGAGGCACGAAAGCGUGGGGAGCAAACAGG